rnacentral:rRNA from 1 species
UACGUAGGGUGCAAGCGUUGUCCGGAAUUAUUGGGCGUAAAGAGCUCGUAGGCGGUUUGUCGCGUCGGAUGUGAAAAUCCAGGGCUCAACCCUGGACCUGCAUUCGAUACGGGCAGACUAGAGUUCGGUAGGGGAGACUGGAAUUCCUGGUGUAGCGGUGAAAUGCGCAGAUAUCAGGAGGAACACCGGUGGCGAAGGCGGGUCUCUGGGCCGAAACUGACGCUGAGGUGCGAAAGCGUGGGGAGCAAACAGG